UACGAAGGGGGCGAGCGUUGUUCGGAUUUACUGGGCGUAAAGGGCGCGCAGGCGGCUUUUCAAGUCAGGCGUGAAAGCCCCGGGCUUAACCUGGGAACUGCGUCUGGGACUGAAGGGCUAGAGAUCGGGAGAGGAGAGUGGAAUUCCCAGUGUAGAGGUGAAAUUCGUAGAUAUCAGGAAGAACACCUAUGGCGAAGGCAGCUCUCUGGGACGGUACUGACGCUGAGACGCGAAAGCGUGGGGAGCGAACAGG
rnacentral:rRNA from 1 species